UAUGCGUUCACUCUGGUAACCAAAACCAACCAAUCAAAAUCCCCGUCCUUAUGACGGGACGGAAAGACGCGCGCUGCUAUUGGUGCAACCUCCAGCGUGGCGAUUGGCAGAUAGAGUGAAAGUGGGCGUGGUUAGAAGCCGCAGGGAAGUAUUUUUUGUGCAGGGUUACUCCGUAGCCUCACAGCUUCCGGUACACACGGUGUUCGGCUGUUAGUGGCGGGUGCUGGGUGGACGGAGUAGAGGGGCCCCGUAGCCGGUUACAGGUCAGUGUCUAACGGGGGGAAGUCACUUUGUGACCGGGUGGGAGAGCUGCACCGCAGGAAGCGAGAGAGGAGGCGACCUCACUGCAGGGGAGAACAUGGAGGCGCCCCCUGGUGUCUGCCCUCAUCUACUGCACCUCGCGCCGGGCCCACGUGACCUUCCGCAGCCGGCAGAGCCCCGUACAGCUGCGGGUGAUGGGCCUGGGAGUCCUGGAAAGUUCCUGCAACUUUGAAGGUCACAAACUCCCCUGAGAUCACCUUGAUGAAGUUGUGUACAUUCCUGCAGCCGAUAGGAUCCCGAAUUGUAGUCUGUUGCUGUAAACAUCCCCGACUGGAAGCUUUGAGGCUGAAUGGAGCUUUCAGUCCGAUGUUUGCCGCCAUCGGCUACAAGAGUCUCAGUGAGCUUUGGAUUACUCCUCCGACUCCAUUGUCUCCAGAUCCUUGAGCUGCCUCCACAUGUUUUUGGGGUUUUCUGGUCUCCUCCACCCACCCAGGUCUGUCAUGCCAAGAGUCUGUGUAAAGCGUGCCGAGACCCAUCCUCCUGCACACUGCGUCUUGUCUCCAUGAUCUCCAUACUACUCGGUUCAUGUAAACAUCCUACACUCAGCUCUGCUGUGCCAUACGGCUGGGCGUAGGAUGCUUACCUUAACUGAUCUGUGACAUCCAGCGCGGGAUAUCUGGGCGGAAGACGGUGAAACGAAGCAAAAAAUUCCUCAACUGUUUCCCUGGUGAUUGCUCAUCGCUUUAUCAUCUGCUGCCGUUUGUGACUUGUAUGUACUUGUCAAUAAAGUUUC